AGAGAUAGGUUCUGAAACGCCAAACCGUUGCCCAUUUUGCUGGACACUAGCCAUCUAUCCUACUUACUUUGCUCUUUUCCUCUCUUUUUUCUCUUUUUUCUUAAUAUUUCAAUCAGAUUCUACGAAAAUAAAAAUAAUUGAUCUCCGCGUGCUUGUUAUUUGGUUUCUCCGCGUGA
rnacentral:sRNA from 1 species